AGAGUUUGAUCAUGGCUCAGAAUCAACGCUGGCGGCGUGCCUCAGACAUGCAAGUCGAACGAUUAAGACUUCCUUCGGGAAGUGCAUAAAGUGGCGCACGGGUGAGUAACACGUAAGUAAUCUACCUUCGAGUGGGGAAUAACGUCCGGAAACGGACGCUAAUACCGCAUAAUGCAGCGGCAUCGUAAGAUGACAGUUGUUAAAGGAGCAAUUCGCUUGAAGAGGAGCUUGCGGCAGAUUAGCUAGUUGGUAAGGUGAUGGCUUACCAAGGCUACGAUCUGUAACCGGUCUAAGAGGACGGUCGGUCACACUGACACUGAAUAACGGGUCAGACUCCUACGGGAGGCAGCAGUCGGGAAUUUUGGGCAAUGGGCGAAAGCCUGACCCAGCAACGCCGCGUGAAGGAUGAAGUAUUUCGGUAUGUAAACUUCGAAAGAAUAGGAAGAAUUAAUGACGGUACUAUUUAUAAGGUCCGGCUAACUACGUGCCAGCAGCCGCGGUAAUACGUAGGGACCAAGCGUUGUUCGGAUUUACUGGGCGUAAAGGGCGCGUAGGCGGCAUGACAAGUCACUUGUGAAAUCUCCGGGCUUAACUCGGAACGGUCAAGUGAUACUGUCGCGCUAGAGUGCGGAAGGGGCAAUCAGAAUUCUUGGUGUAGCGGUGAAAUGCAGAUAUCAAGAGGAAUACCUGAGGUGAAGACGGGUUGCUAGGCCGACACUGACGCUGAAGCGCGAAAGCCAGGGGAGCAAACGGGAUUAGAUACCCUAGUAGUCC
rnacentral:rRNA from 1 species